AUGCGCAAACUUUAGCAAUUUCUUGAAGUAACAAGGCUACCUUCUCUGCUAGGCUGGAAAAAUAUAUGAUGCAUUUGAAGAAGUUUGGUAGCAGCAGUGUUUGGUUGAAAUGUUUUAGUCUGAAAAUAGUACUGAUUGAACCUGCGGUGUUGGCUUGGUUGGCAAGUAGCUUUCAUUGCAAUUCCUGGACCAAUAAAAAAAGGGAGGUACUUUCCAUACUUGGGAAUUCCUUAUUCCCAGGAAAUUAGUCACUACUUGCAUUUCAAGCAAAUAUUUGAAUUUUUAAGGUGUCAGUACCUUUGAUAUUAGGAUCUCCCUCA
rnacentral:misc_RNA from 1 species